UGAUGCAGCGACGCCGCGUGAACGAGGGAGGCCUUCGGGUCGUAAACGUUCUUUCCUCGGGGAAGAAAUGUUAUACGAGUAACUGCGUAUAAUUUGACGGUUCCCGUAGAAGCAGCCCCGGCUAACUCCGUG
rnacentral:rRNA from 1 species